CAGCCUGCAGGCCCUGCGGGCCCAGCUACCAACUCCCAGAUGUACAGCGGCCCGAUGAAGAGGCCAGAAUGCAGUCUGUUCGGCCUGGCUAAGCAGCACCCAGGUGAAACUCUGCUUCCGGAGAACAGGCCCCACCCACCAAGUGAUGAAUCGCAGCCCACGGAUUCCUCAGAGCACUAGUUACGAAAUAGCAGAGUAACCUGGUUAAAUCCAGCUGAGGGCUUUGACAUCCAAUAGAGAAGACUGGAUGGAGACAAGACAAUUCCAAAUGCCCCCAGCACUGGAUGGGCGGUCACACGGAUGGAACCCCUCUGCCGCCAUGGCUCAUGAUGUCUGGAAGGCACGCAGUGGCCACGUGACAUCUGGAAAUGCAGGGUUGCCUCAUUAUGGUGGGGACACAACUGUUGACCUCCUCGGUACUUGAGUCGAUGAAAGCAGCUGUGAUGUGACCAGCUGUGUCCAGAACUCCCUACCU